AUUGAACGCUGGCGGAAUGCUUUACACAUGCAAGUCGAACGGCAGCACGGGGCAACCUGGUGGCGAGUGGCGAACGGGUGAGUAAUACAUCGGAACGUGCCCAAUCGUGGGGGAUAACGUAGCGAAAGUUACGCUAAUACCGCAUACGAUCUACGGAUGAAAGCGGGGGAUCGGCAAGGACCUCGCGCGAAUGGAGCGGCCGAUGUCAGAUUAGGUAGUUGGUGGGGUAAAGGCUCACCAAGCCAAUGAUCUGUAGCUGGUCUGAGAGGACGACCAGCCACACUGGAACUGAGACACGGUCCAGACUCCUACGGGAGGCAGCAGUGGGGAAUUUUGGACAAUGGGCGCAAGCCUGAUCCAGCCAUUCCGCGUGCAGGAUGAAGGCC
rnacentral:rRNA from 1 species